rnacentral:rRNA from 1 species
UACGUAGGGUGCGAGCGUUGUCCGGAAUUACUGGGCGUAAAGAGCUCGUAGGUGGUUUGUCGCGUUGUUCGUGAAAUCCCACGGCUUAACUGUGGGCGUGCGGGCGAUACGGGCAGACUGGAGUACUGCAGGGGAGACUGGAAUUCCUGGUGUAGCGGUGGAAUGCGCAGAUAUCAGGAGGAACACCGGUGGCGAAGGCGGGUCUCUGGGCCACUACUGACGCUGAGAAGCGAAAGCAUGGGGAGCGAACAGG